rnacentral:rRNA from 1 species
UCCUACGGGAGGCAGCAGUGGGGAAUUUUGGACAAUGGGGGCAACCCUGAUCCAGCCAUGCCGCGUGAGUGAAGAAGGCCUUCGGGUUGUAAAGCUCUUUCAGCCGGAAAGAAAUCGUGCAGGUUAAUACCUUGCAUGGAUGACGGUACCGGAAGAAGAAGCACCGGCUAACUACGUGCCAGCAGCCGCGGUAAUACGUAGGGUGCGAGCGUUAAUCGGAAUUACUGGGCGUAAAGCGUGCGCAGGCGGUUUUGUAAGACAGGCGUGAAAUCCCCGGGCUUAACCUGGGAACUGCGUUUGUGACUGCAAGGCUAGAGUAUGGCAGAGGGGGGUAGAAUUCCACGUGUAGCAGUGAAAUGCGUAGAGAUGUGGAGGAAUACCGAUGGCGAAGGCAGCCCCCUGGGUCAAUACUGACGCUCAUGCACGAAAGCGUGGGGAGCAAACAGGAUUAGAUACCCUGGUAGUCCACGCCCUAAACGAUGUCAACUAGGUGUUGGGGGAGGAGACUUCCUUAGUACCGCAGCUAACGCGUGAAG